UACAGAGGUCUCAAGCGUUGUUCGGAUUCAUUGGGCGUAAAGGGUGCGUAGGUGGCGGGGCAAGUCUGGUGUGAAAUCCUAGGGCUCAACCCUGGAACUGCACUGAAUACUGCUUUGCUAGAGUACUGGAGAGGGAACUGGAAUUUACGGUGUAGCAGUGAAAUGCGUAGAUAUCGUAAGGAAGACCAGUGGCGAAGGCGAGUUCCUGGACAGUUACUGACACCGAGGCACGAAGGCCAGGGGAGCGAACGGG
rnacentral:rRNA from 1 species